AGAGUUUGAUUCUGGCUCAGAAUGAACGCUGGCGGAGUGCCUAAGACAUGCAAGUCGUACGAGAAAGUCCCGCAAGGGAUGAGUACAGUGGCGGACGGGUGAGUAAUAUUUAGGUAAUGUACCAUAACGCUGAGAAUAACUAGGCGAAAGCUUAGCUAAUACUGAAUGAUCCGGGGAGGACUGCGGUCCACUUCGGUAAAGCCGUAAGGCGCGUUAUGAGCAGCCUAAAUCUCAUUAACUUGUUGGUAGGGUAAUGGCCUACCAAGGUAUCGAUGAGUAGCUGGUCUGAGAGGACGAUCAGCCACACUGGAACUGAAACACGGUCCAGACUCCUACGGGAGGCAGCAGUUAGGAAUUUUGCGCAAUGGACGAAAGUCUGACGCAGCAACUCCGCGUGAGUGAUGAAGGCCUUCGGGUUGUAAAGCUCUUUUAGUUGGGACGAAACAAAUGACGGUACCGACAGAAACAGCACCGGCUAACCCUGUGCCAGCAGCCGCGGUAAUACAGGGGGUGCAAGCGUUAUUCGGAAUUAUUGGGCGUAAAGAGCGUGUAGGCGGCCAAGCAAGUUUGGUGUGAAAGCCCCGGGCUUAAUCCGGGAAGUGCAUUGAAUACUGCUAGGCUAGAGUAUAGGAGAGGAUGGCGGAAUUCCUGGUGUAGAGGUGAAAUUCGUAGAUAUCAGGAGGAACAACAGAGGCGAAGGCGGCCAUCUGGACUAUUACUGACGCUAAGGCGCGAAAGUGUGGGGAGCAAACAGGAUUAGAUACCCUGGUAGUCCACACCGUAAACUAUGGGUACUAGAUGUCGGAAGUUCUUACCCUUCCGGUGUCGCAGCUAACGCAUUAAGUACCCCGCCUGGGAAGUACGGUCGCAAGAUUAAAACUCAAAGGAAUUGACGGGGGCCCGCACAAGCGGUGGAGCAUGUGGUUUAAUUCGAUGCAACGCGAAGAACCUUACCUACCCUUGACAUACAGCGAAUUUCUCAGAGAUGGGAGAGUGCCUUCGGGAACGCUGAUACAGGUGCUGCAUGGCUGUCGUCAGCUCGUGUUGUGAGAUGUUGGGUUAAGUCCCGUAACGAGCGCAACCCUUGUUCUUAGUUACCAGCGCGUAAAGGCGGGGACUCUAAGGA
rnacentral:rRNA from 1 species